rnacentral:misc_RNA from 1 species
UUUUUUUUUUGUGAUUUUUUUUUUUUUUUUUGAGAAAAGAGGAGAUGGCAGAGAAUGAAGAAAAAGAUAAACAUGUUUGAAGGUUGAGAACACACGAUAUGAUAGGUGAAUCCUGAAGUACUUGCUACAGAAACAAGUUCCACCUUUUCCACAAUCUGUGCAGUACUAUGUAGAUAAAUGCAGCUCGUAAUUCAUAUAAGAGUAACUAUGAUUUUAUUUAGUCAUUUUCAGUGGAAACACAAGCAAAAGCAACAUCAAUUGAUGUAUUUCCCAAAGGUUACAUAUGGAAUGCAGAACUGCAAACCAAAAAGCAGCUGUAGCAAGCAACUCUUC